rnacentral:rRNA from 1 species
UACGUAUGGAGCGAGCGUUGUCCGGAAUUAUUGGGCGUAAAGGGUGCGCAGGCGGCUUUACAAGUUGGAUGUGAAAUAUUGUGGCUCAACCACAAACGUGCAUCCAAAACUGCAAAGCUUGAGUUAAGGAGAGGUAAGUGGAAUUCCUGGUGUAGCGGUGGAAUGCGUAGAUAUCAGGAGGAAUACCGGUGGCGAAGGCGACUUACUGGACUUAAACUGACGCUCAGGCACGAAAGCGUGGGGAGCAAACAGGAUUAGAUACC